AGCAGCCGCGGUAAUUCCAGCUCCAAUAGCGUAUAUUAAAGUUGUUGCAGUUAAAAAGCUCGUAGUUGAAUUUCGGGAUUUGUCAGUUAGUUGGUCGGGCUUUACUGUCCGUACUGACUUGAUGAAUUCUUACCUUCUGAAUAACCAAACUCAAUCACUGAGUUGGGGAAACAGAUCUAUUACCUUGAAAAAUUAGAGUGCUUAAAGCAGGCUAGUGCUUGAAUAGAUUAGCAUGGAAUAAUAAAAUAGGACGGCAUGGUUCUAUUUUGUUGGUUUCUAGGAUCACCGUAAUGAUUAAUAGGGAUAGUUGGGGGCAUUAGUAUUCAAUUGUCAGAGGUGAAAUUCUUGGAUUUAUUGAAGGCUAACUACUGCGAAAGCAUUUGCCAAGGAUGUUUUCAUUAAUCAAGAACGAAAGUUAGGGGAUCGAAGACGAUCAGAUACCGUCGUAGUCUUAACCAUAAACUAUGCCGACUAGGGAUCGGAUGAUGUUAAUUUUUAAUGUACUCAUUCGGCGCCUUAA
rnacentral:rRNA from 1 species